AUGUCAAGAAUUGCACGUGAACUUUUUUACGUUUGGAUCUAUAAAAAAUUGUGAAGUUUUAUUCUUUGAGCAAAGAAAACUAGAUAUAGUUUUAUUAUAUGCAAGAAAUUGGAUAUAAAUCGCAACUAUGUAUUCACAUAUAAUAAUAUUAAAACACAAAAACGCGAACAAAAAUUGUAGCAAUCCACGAUUGUCGUGCAGCAAUUCAUAGAAGAACGUACUUCAUUAUUCAUAGCACAUGAUAAAUCACCUCAGGCUAGGAAAUAUUUGUCAAGGAAACCUGUCAUAAGAAUGAUUCUAGCAUGACAAACGAUGAUCGAUGGAUGCUGAAAUUUAAUUGCUUAUAUUAUUAUCCACAAUAAAAAGAAGAAGAAAGUAAAUAAAUUGUCAGUAGAACACUGAUAGAAGAUUAGCAAAUUUAAACAAUGGGGCACAGAAUGUCUGUUAAUAGGAACAUCAAGGGAAAAUCGGAACAUUCGAAAUAUAUUUAAGGGAAAGAAAACUUAAAAUUCGAAGCAAAAAAGAUCUGAAGUAUGAAGCGAAGGAAGAUAAAGAGAAGAGAAGAGGAAGAGGACAUGAAACAAAGGAUGUUUAAAAAAAAAAUAAAAAGAUAAAUUGACAGAGAAGCACUAAGGUGGAUCAGCAGAUUUAGACUACGGAGUAAAGUAGGUGUAAAUUACAAAGUAAAGAUCUAGAAUACGAGGCAAGGUAGAUUUUAAAUAUAAGACACGGCAGGUGGAAAGAAGAAAACGAGACAGAAAAAUCUCGUAACCGGUAGGAUGGAUCAUAAGGAAAAAUGUAAGAAAUACGUUAGAGAUUGAAAAUUAUUCAUUCGAAAUGGAAGAAGCAGAACGUAAGAAGGGUUCGAAUGAUAAUGGAAUAAAAGUAUAAACACCUGUCGUAGUUGAGCGAUGGGUAGGAAAAUGGAAACAAGCCUUUCGAGAUUGAAAGAAACGAAUGGAACGAAAGGAAUAAAAUUAGACGUGCAGGGGGAAGUAAGAGAAGAUAUUAUGACUUGCAAUUGCGGAUCCCUCCGUUGGCGGAGAUACAGGAAUGGGAGAAGGAAAUUCUGGGAAUAACUGUUGAAACGAACGAUGGAAAAAAUGGAAGAAGGGUGAGUCUUAACUUGUUAAUUGGAGGAAAUGAGUUUACUCCUUAUUUGGCUUAUGGC